rnacentral:rRNA from 1 species
ACUCCUACGGGAGGCAGCAGUGGGGAAUAUUGGACAAUGGCGAAAGCCUGAUCCAGCCAUGCCGCGUGUGUGAAGAAGGCCCUCGGGUUGUAAAGCACUUUCAGUGAGGAAGAAUGCUUGUGGGUUAAUACCCUGCAAGACGAGACAUCACUCACAGAAGUAAGGCACCGGCUAACUCCGUGCCAGCAGCCGCGGUAAUACGGAGGGUGCGAGCGUUAAUCGGAAUUACUGGGCGUAAAAGCGCGCGUAGGCGGCUUGAUAAGCC